rnacentral:rRNA from 1 species
GGAUUAACGCUGGCGGCGUGCCUAACACAUGCAAGUCGAACGCACAUUUAUGUGAGUGGCGGACGGCUGAGUAACACGUUGGUACCUGCCCCGAACUCGGGAAUAAGCACUGGAAACGGUGUCUAAUGCCCGAUAGUCUCCUUGGAGUAAAGCCUUGGCGGUUCGGGAGGGGCCUGCGCAUGAUUAGUUGUUGGUGAGGUAACGGCUCACCAAGACUUCGAUCAUUAGGUGGUCUGAGAGGAUGAUCACCCAGACUGGGACUGAGACACGGCCCAGACUCCUACGGGAGGCAGCAGUGAGGAAUCUUGCACAAUGGGGGAAACCCUGAUGCAGCAACGCCGCGUGGAGGAAGACGGUCUUCGGAUUA